UACGAAGGGGGCUAGCGUUGCUCGGAAUCACUGGGCGUAAAGGGUGCGUAGGCGGGUCUUUAAGUCAGAGGUGAAAGCCUGGAGCUCAACUCCAGAACUGCCUUUGAUACUGAGGAUCUCGAGUUCGGGAGAGGUGAGUGGAACUGCGAGUGUAGAGGUGAAAUUCGUAGAUAUUCGCAAGAACACCAGUGGCGAAGGCGGCUUACUGGUCCGGUUCUGGACGCUGAGGCGCGAAAGCGUGGGGAGCAA
rnacentral:rRNA from 1 species